GGCUAUCUCAUGAUCAGGAUUAAUUACAAGGGGCCAUACUUGGUUCUCAAUUAUAUGUUGCUGUUAUGAUAACUUCUUUUGACUGAUUAAUUAACGGACCAAGACAAGAACUAAAGUGAUGAAACAACAGAAAUAUCAAUGGAUUUUAGACAUGUUUCUGAUGGUAGUGGAAUUCAUCUCGAGUUAUAACAUAUAAAUGCAAAUAAGUUAUAAAAUACAAAGAAAUAAAAUUAGUUGUAAAUUUAAUUAUAUUGACAUAAAACAAGUUAAAUUAAAUAAUUAAAUUAUAAUUUAAUAUGUUCUUGUUGUAUAU
rnacentral:lncRNA from 1 species